UACGAAGGGGGCUAGCGUUGUUCGGAAUUACUGGGCGUAAAGCGCACGCAGGCGGAUUUAUAAGUCAGGGGUGAAAUCCCGGGGCUCAACCUCGGAAUUGCCCUUGAUACUGUCUAUCUUGAGUCCGGGAGAGGUGAGUGGAAUUCCUAGUGUAGAGGUGAAAUUCGUAGAUAUUAGGAAGAACACCAGUGGCGAAGGCGGCUCACUGGCCCGGUACUGACGCCCAUGUGCGAAAGCGUGGGGAGCAAACAGG
rnacentral:rRNA from 1 species